UGGCUGUGCUGCUGUUGGUGCCUUGGGUCUCUUUUCCUGUCUGCCCUUCUCAGCUCCCUUGGUUGCUGACUCCUCGCCAUCUGACCAUCUGCCUCGCUCUGCCCCUUCCACCCACCACACAUUUCUGGCUGCUGAUGCUUGCAGUGCCUUUGGGUGCCCAUCUGGCCCAGCCCUUGGGAUGAGGGGACUCCUGCCUUCUCCUGCUUCUCUGACCUCUGCUCCCUGGAUGCCUUAUGUAGAUUCUGGUUCCCUGGUCCUGGAAUCCUCACUGCUGCUUCUGAUCCGGUGGGAUAAUAAUGAGGUUACAUGGUGAGAAGGCCACCCAGGUAUUGUAAUUAGUAGCCACACCAAGCCAGCUCUAUUGGGUGGGUGAUUAGAAAAUUUUUUUUUCUAAUCUUAACACUUAUUAUACUAAAACUAUCUACUUAAGUAUUUUCCCCCCAGAUGGAGAGUUUCUUGAGGGCAAGAACUGAGUUUAUUUUUCUUUAUAUCCAGAGUGCCUAGAAUAUAGAAAUUAACUGGUAAAUGUUGGCUGAACUGAGGUUGGGAAUGGGAGGGAAAGUGUAUAGGGGAUGAUGCUCUGAUGUCAGCUUCCUGGGCUGACCCUGAAGAAAGAAGGAAACGUGGGCAUUUGUGGUUGUCAGUCCCACCCCUCUCUUGGGGGAGUGGCCCUUGGACAGGGCAGGAGGCUGCUCAACCUUGGCCUUGACUGCAAAGGUCUCUGGGUCUUGCUGUGUGCUUCACCCAGACCUCAUCCUGAUGCGCGCCCAACCCAUCCAUGGUUCAUCAUCCACCGUGUCUGCAGUUCCCUCAGGGAGAGAUUCUUUUGUACUGGCAUGCAGGCCAGUGGGAUGAGAGGGGCAGUAAAUCUGGGAGCAAGUGGGAAGCUGCAGGCCGAGUGCACACAGUACUCAGCGCAAGGGAGGUGCUCCAAUAUCAGGAAAAAGAUACAACGGCUCUUUCAUUUCUCUCCUUUCUUUUUUCAGAUUAUAAAGUAAUACAUGUUCACAGGGACAAAAUACAAAAGUAUAAAAGCCUUCUGUCCUCCUCAAUCUACUCCCUAACAUUAACUACUGUUAACAAUUCUUUUUUAUUUGUUUAUUUUUUUGACACACAGUCGCAUUCCUCGCCCAGGAUGGAGUGCAGUGGCACGAUCUCGAUCUCGGCUCACUGCAACCUCCACCUCCUGGUUCAAGCAAUUCUCGUAGCUGGGAUUACAGGCGCACACCACCAACCCGGCUUAUGUUUGUAUUUUUUCUAGAGACGGGGUUUCUCCAUGUUGGCCAUGCCUAGUCUUGAACUCCCGGCCUCAAGUGAUCCUCCCACCUCAGCCUCCCAAGGUGGUGAGAUUACAGGCAUGAGCCACUGCGCCUGGCUGUGCUGUUAACAAUUCUUGACAUCUUCUGGAAAUGUGCUAUUUUACAAAAGCACGUAUACAUAUAGCUUGCAUAUACAAAAUGUGUGUAUGUGUUCACAUGCAGAUAGAUAUAUAAACAGACAGAAUUUGAUGGUGUCAUGAGACAGAAAGAGAAAAUGGUAGCCCACAGGUAUAAAGUAGGGGUGUUGGGGUGAAGGCAGACUUGAAAGGGGCUGUUGAUGGACCAGGUAGGAGGGCCUGAGGAGAAGUGAUGGAAUACAAGGAUGGAAGCAAGGAUGGGGCAGGAGAGUCUUAAUAUUUGUGUUGCAAAAAAAUUUUGCAGUUUAGGAGGUGAGAAAUCCAACAUCCAGUUAGCCUCAGUUUCCUUAACUAAAAAAUGGGAUAAUGAUGUAUAUUCCUCACAGGUUUAUAGUGAUGAUUAGAAGGGGCGAAUAUAUAUAUAAACAAACAUACAUAUAUGUUUGUUUGUUUUUUGGACAGAGUCUCGAUCUGUCACCCAGGCUGGUAUGCAGUGGUGCGAUUUUGGCUCACUGCAACCUCCGCCUCCCAGGUUCAAGUGAUUCUCCCAUCUUAGCCUCCUGAGUAGCUGAGACUACAGGCACGUGCCACCACGCCCAGCUAAUUUUUGUAUUUUUAGUAGAGAUGGGGUUUCACUAUAUCUUGGCCAGGUUGGUCUUGAACUCCUGACCUCAGGUGAUCCACCCACCUUGGCCUCCCAAAGUGCUGGGAUUACAGGCGUGAGCCACUGUGCCUGGCCAGGGCUAAUAUAUUUAAAGUGCUUAGCAUUGCACCUCAAACAAUAUUCUAAGCAUUCUCUCAGCGUGUGCUGCUAUUAUAGUUGUUGAUGUUAUUAGGGUGCUGCUAUUGUUGCUGUUUUCAGAAUGCUUCACGUGGUCCCUGGCCCGUGAGUGAACCUCUAUCCAUCUGCAGUUGGCAUAUGGAAAGAACCUCCUGGUCACAUUUCUCUUUCCAUUUUAGAAAUCAUUCUUUUGUUGUGACACUGUCUUUUCAUUUUCCUUCCCUGACUGCUCUUAACUUCCUACUUUAUGCUGUGCACUCUUGAAGAAAACUUUCUGGUACCUGAUGGUUAUAAAUCCUUGGAGGCGCGUGAAGAUGUUUUAGGUAGUAAAGGGCAGUGGCCAUUUUCUCACUUUGUCUCCCUGGCCUGGUCUUAAGCUGUUGGGCAUUCUUUAGUCAGGAACAUCUUCUUAUUUGCUGUACUUCACACAUACUGCCUAAGGAUAUCAAUUAGAAUUGCUUACUUAAGAAAAAUGCCCAGCAAUCGUUAAGGCCACUCUUGUUCAUUUCCUGCAUUUUUUUUUUUUUUUUUUUUGAGAUGGAGUCUCACUCUGUUGCCCAGGCUGGAGUGCAGUGGCGUGAUCUUGGCUCACUGCAACUUCCGCCUCCUGGGUUCAAGCGAUUCUUCUCCUGCUUCAGCCUCCCCAGUAGCUGGGACUACACGCUCCCGCCACCUCACCAGGCUAAUUUUUGUAUUUUUAGUAGAGACUGGGUUUCACCACGUUGGUCAGGCUUGUCUCAAACUUCCGACCUCAAGUGAUCUGCCUGCCUUGGCCUCCAAAGUGCUGGGAUUACAGGCGUGAGCCACUGCGCCCAGCCCAUUGUCUUCAUUUUAAGAGCACUGACUCUGCUGCUCCUCUUGAGACAUCUUGGGCAGUGAUUCUGUUCUUCUGGGAUACUCUGGGUGUUUCUACUUGUAUUUAGAAUGGCUGGCUUAAAAGUCUUUGUUUGAAUAUUCCGCAUUCUGAAUGCUCUUAGUUGUCAGUAAAACUAUGCCUGCCUACGCACUCUUCUAUUUCUGAUUUAAAAAUAGGUUCAGCUGCCUAACAAUUACACAUACUCUAUUUUGCACGCGCACAUUACUUAAGGAGACAUUUAGAGGGUAGAUAGCUUUUAUUCCUAUGAGUUAUCUUGAAAUCAUCUUCUUAACUAUCUUUUUUUCCCCAAAGGGGCCAUAUUUUGAAGGAUUUGUGAUGAGACUUUUGGUCUGUGAAGCCCAAGACACAAUCUCCAACAUGCACAGGAAAUCCAGUAUCAAAUUUCUAACAUGUCUUCAGAGACAGGCCCAGGGCUGGCUUGAGCGUGUCAGAGAGGUGUGCACUGCGUACUACCCAUCAUACAUGGCCACACAUGCCUGUGGCUGUGAGAAAUACUGGUGGUGACAAAGACAAUGAGAUGCCAGAGAAAAAGAUCAGUGGGGUUUGCAAAAGUGAUUAAGAUGUCGUCCUAGGUAUAAUUAAAGACUUAAUAAGGUUGAAGGAAAGAGAGGACAUUGCACAUACCGAGGCCCCUGAGAGAUCUGCCUGGCAACCCAGAAAGGGACAUAUGGGGGAAAACGCCUUAGUGUAACCAGGUCAGAAUUUUCAUUCUGGGCAGAACUGGAAUUUGAAUAAUAAUACUGAGUCAUAUAGCGCAUACAGCUAUGACAUUUCAUUUAUUUCUCUAUAUAAUGCAAUAAAGUAGAUGGAUUAACCGUGACGUUUACAGAUGGAGCAGGGGAGAAUGAAGAGGCGUCAGUUUGGGCAUCAGGCUGGAUCUUCACACUCUGACCUCACUCUGCUCUAUCCUGCCCAGUGUUGCUUCACCUGAUAUCAGGGGUGCAAGGCAACCAGAUCUGACACCAGUUUCAGUUUAGAUCCUGCCUUUACCUGGGUGUGACCCGGGUCCAUCUCUUCAGCUCGGCCUCUGCUUUCUCUUCAUAAACUUUUGGGGUUAGUCCUCGGAUGAUCUCUAAAACAUGGCCCAGGUGCUCCUUGCCAGUAGAGUGUAGCCGGAUUUGGAGGGACUGGACACUCAGUGUGAACAAGACGAAGGCCUCAGGAGGCAGUAAAAGCUGACAAGAGGAGAGAAAAUGAAGCGCCUACGGGUGCAUACUGGACUAGCGGGCGAAAGGCCAUGACUCCUUAGUUUGGAGAAAGAACUGGGGCCGAGAUUGGGGAAGUUUCCCAGUGCAAUUAAAAAAAAAAAAAAAAAGAACUAGAAGAAUUACCCAGGUCUGGCUUCUUUCGUGUAGCCUGGGGCUGAGUCGCAGGCUGAGAAAUCCAGUCUGGCCAGUAGGGGGCUCCACCAAGCGCAGUCUCAGAAUGCCCAAGAGCUCCACCGUCGCCCGGGGUCUCCACCAAGCGCAGUCUCAGAAUGCCCAAGAGCCCCACCGUCGCCCGGGGUCUCCAAGAGGAGUGGGUCGUGGUGGGCGUUGAAGGGCCGUAAAAGACGAGCAGCCCGCGUCCGCGUCCGUCCUCCCGGGUCUCCAGUCCGCAGGCGGCCGCCGCCUCGGCCCCGCCCUCCCACCUCCAUUCCCGGCCCCGCGGACCCGAACGGUCCCUCUCGCAACCGAUCUGCUGGCUGGGGCGCUGGGGAUGCGAAUUCCUAGAAGCCUUAAGAGGCUGCCCAGCGUUGGAAGUUCGUAUCCCCAAGAAUGCUGGAGGUUCCGGCUCACACACCCCCUCCGGGCACAGAGUCAGCUGGGGGGUGCUGGGAGGGAGAACGCCCCGCUCCUCACCCCCCAUCCCCGUGCACCCUGGAGCCCAGCUCCAUACGUUCGGCCACCCCAGGCGGACUCGGGGUGGCCGGGUAGCGGGUGGUGGCAGGAGGGGACCGGGUAACGGCAGGCCCGAGAGGAGGUCGCUGGGCCGGGCCGGAGGCGCACAGGGGCUGCGUGGCUACCUCGGCGGCACCCGCCCCACCUCCGCCGGCUAAGCCCGGAGGGGGACGGUGAGUCAGAUCUCGGGC
rnacentral:lncRNA from 1 species